CCACAGCUCUGUGCCAGAUGCUUCUACCAAUGUUUUCUCCCGAAACUCUCACAGCAACCCUUGGGGAGGUGCGGACCAUCACUCCUACUUUGCAGCUGUUCUACCUCAAUAAAACUGAAUGGAAUCUCAGCAGAAGAUUAUCCCAAAUGAAAUUAAUUUAAGAAACAAAACUAAGAACUACAAUGACUCAGGAAUAGUGGUUUAAUUAUAACAUCAUUGUCAACAGAACACAAAUUAUAUGAUAAUGUUGAUUACAACACUAUAACUCAAUUUUACUGAAAUGAAGAAGUAAAAUGAAUUAUAUGGAAUAAACACAUAAUAAUUUAUAAAUUA